AGAGGAUGAAGGCGCUGAUAUUUUCUUUGGUUAUCUAGCUGUAUGAGUGAUAUUAACAUCAUAAAGCUAGGUUACCAAAGUUAACAGCACUGCCGUAAUGC
rnacentral:pre_miRNA from 1 species